rnacentral:rRNA from 1 species
GACGAACGCUGGCGGCGUGCUUAACACAUGCAAGUCGAACGGAAAGGCCCUGCUUUCGUGGGGUGCUCGAGUGGCGAACGGGUGAGUAACACGUGAGUAACCUGCCCUUGACUUUGGGAUAACUUCAGGAAACUGGGGCUAAUACCGGAUAGGAGCUCCUGCUGCAUGGUGGGGGUUGGAAAGUUUCGGCGGUUGGGGAUGGACUCGCGGCGUACCAGCUUGUUGGUGGGGUAGUGGCUUACCAAGGCUUUGACGGGUAGCCGGCCUGAGAGGGUGACCGGCCACAUUGGGACUGAGAUACGGCCCAGACUCCUACGGGAGGCAGAAGUGGGGAAUAUUGCACAAUGGGCGGAAGCCUGAUGCAGCAACGCCGCGUGCGGGAUGACGGCCUUCGGGUUGUAAACCGCAUUCGCCUGUGACGAAGCGUGAGUGACGGUAAUGGGUAAAGAAGCACCGGCUAACUACGUG